GACGAACGCUGGCGGCGUGCCUAAUACAUGCAAGUCGAACGAGAGCGACCGGUGCUUGCACUGGUCACUCUAGUGGCGAACGGGUGAGUAACACGUGGGUAACCUGCCCAUCAGAGGGGGAUAACAUCCGGAAACGGAUGCUAAAACCGCAUAGGUCUUCGAGCCGCAUGGCUUGAUGGGGAAAAGAGGCGCAAGCUUCUGCUGAUGGUUGGACCCGCGGUGCAUUAGCUAGUUGGUGAGGUAACGGCUUACCAAGGCCGCGAUGCAUAGCCGACCUGAGAGGGUGAUCGGCCACACUGGGACUGAGACACGGUCCAGACUCCUACGGGAGGCAGCAGUAGGGAAUCUUCCGCAAUGGGCGAAAGCCUGACGGAGCAACGCCGCGUGAGUGAAGAAGGUUUUCGGAUCGUAAAACUCUGUUGUUAGGGAAGAACAAGUGUGAGAGUAACUGUUAGCGCCUUGACGGUACCUAACCAGAAAGCCACGGCUAACUACGUG
rnacentral:rRNA from 1 species